rnacentral:lncRNA from 1 species
UCUGCGUUCUUUCUCAUCUUCAUUCUGAUUCAAGCCGUUCGAACGAUUCAGCAUCAGGUUUGCAAAACCCCAGACAAAACCUUCAUCUGCGUUCUCUCUCAUCUCUAUUCCUAAUUCAAGUCGUUCGAACGAUUCGGCAUCAGGUUCAGAUUUAGCGGCCACGAUGAUUGGAACUUAUGGUGGUAAUGGUCGCCUGAAAAAUCGGAUAUGAUGCUAUGGUGAUUUCACACCACCGUAUCACCGCCACUUCUUUGAUGUGAACUAUCGGAAUCAUGGAUUCUGUUGUUAUUAUAAACUAACUCGGUUUUCCAUCUUUAAGUUGGGAGUAAGAAAUGGUUUUGGAGGAAUUGCUUUAAGGUCCUUGAAAGCUAAGAGCGAGCUUACCAUAAUAUGGUUCAUGUUCAACAGUUGUCAGAGGUCACUGUACUCUUCGAGUUGGAAAGCAAUUACUGAGGGGAAGAUUCUUCGAAUUCUGGGUUCCAUCACAGCUGGUUGUUAAAGAGAUCUUGGUGCAAUGAUUUUGGCUCUUGAUGUUAAGAAACAUGCCUGACGAUGAAAAGGGAAAGGGGAGGUUGAUGUUUCAUCUCCUGAAGCUGUAACUAAAUACAAAUCGGCUGUCGAGAUUGUCUACAGUAAACAACCUUCAUUCUUUGCUAUAAUAUAUGCUUUGGCAAGUGGAUUUGGUUAUAUAUAUUGAAGACAUGGCACUUGAGGCAUGUGAAGGUGGAGAACUAUUUAUUCAAACCAGGGGCCGGAGAAACAAAGUGGAGUAGCAGUAGUACUAUUUCUUAGAAGCAGCCUGCUUAUCGUCCUUCAAGUGAAUGUGGUAAAAGGGUCGAAUCAAGGUCAUCAAGAAACCAAGGAUAUCCGCAAUAAAACAGACGACAUGAUGAAUUCAACUUGUGUGUUUCUGAAUGAUGUCCGAAUAAGAUUCACUGAAGUUACAUCUGCAGUAUAUUGAAAUGUAAUUAAAUUUUUUUAUAGUAUGUUAGUUCAUAUUAGCAACAAACAUACAUGUUGGAAGAAAUAUUAAUCUUUCAAUAUGCAAUAUGCAACUGGAACUAAACAGUAUCAAUGUGGUUGUGUCCCUCGUAGAGGUGGUUUGUUAUUGAAAUCUAAAUUAACACAUUUU